rnacentral:rRNA from 1 species
AGUGAACGCUGGCGGUAGGCCUAACACAUGCAAGUCGAACGGCAGCACAGUAAGAGCUUGCUCUUACGGGUGGCGAGUGGCGGACGGGUGAGGAAUACAUCGGAAUCUACUUUUUCGUGGGGGAUAACGUAGGGAAACUUACGCUAAUACCGCAUACGACCUACGGGUGAAAGCAGGGGAUCUUCGGACCUUGCGCGAUUGAAUGAGCCGAUGUCGGAUUAGCUAGUUGGCGGGGUAAAGGCCCACCAAGGCGACGAUCUGUAGCUGGUCUGAGAGGAUGAUCAGCCACACUGGAACUGAGACACGGUCCAGACUCCUACGGGAGGCAGCAGUGGGGAAUAUUGGACAAUGGGCGCAAGCCUGAUCCAGCCAUACCGCGUGGAUGAAGAAGGCCUUCGGGUUGUAAAGCCCUUUUGUUGGGAAAGAAAAGCAGCAGGUUAAUACCCCGCUGUUCUGACGGUACCCAAAGAAUAAGCACCGGCUAACUUCGUG